GAUUUCUGGUCUGACAUGCCUGGCCCGCCGGGGUUACCCGCGUGAGUGCCGGUGCGCGUCUACCAUCCUUCCGGAAAACGGCCUUACCCUUCACUGGGCCGAGGUCGCGAUCCGGAUCUUUUACUUUGAAAAAAUUAGAGUGUUUCAAGCAGGCUUUAUGCUAUGAAUACAUUAGCAUGGAAUAAUAAUUUAGGACUUCGGUUCUAUUUUGUUGGUUUCUAGGACUGAAGUAAUGAUUGAUAGGGAUAGUUGGGGGUGCUAGUAUUCAGCGGCCAGAGGUGAAAUUCUCGGAUUCGCUGAAGACUAACUUAUGCGAAAGCAUU
rnacentral:rRNA from 1 species